rnacentral:rRNA from 1 species
AGGCAGCAGCAGGGAAUAUUGCGCAAUGGGCGAAAGCCAGACGCAGUGACGCCGCGUGGAGGAUGAAGGCUUUCGAGUUGUAAACUCCUUUUCCGGGGGGCGAGGAAGGACGGUACCCCGGGAACAAGCCCCGGCUAACUACGUGCCAGCAGCCGCGGUAAUACGUAGGGGGCGAGCGUUAUCCGGAUUUACUGGGCGUAAAGAGCUCGUAGGCGGGGCCGCAAGUCAAAUGUGAAAGCUCCCGGCUUAACUGGGAGAGGUCGUUUGAUACUGCGGUUCUUGAGGGCAGGAGAGGGAGGUGGAAUUCCCGGUGGAGCGGUGGAAUGCGUAGAGAUCGGGAGGAACACCAGUGGCGAAGGCGGCCUCCUGGCCUGCGCCUGACGCUGAGGAGCGAAAGCUAGGGGAGCAAACGGGAUUAGAGACCCCGGUAGUCCUAGCCGUAAACGAUGGAUACUAGGUGUUGGGGGUAUUGACCCCCCCAGUGUCGCAGCUAACGCGUUAAGUAUCCCGCCUGGGGACUACGGCCGCAAGGCUAAAACUCAAAGGAAUUGACGG